UUUAAGGUGAUGAUGGGAAGUAGUAAAUAUCUUGAUAUAUAAAGAGAGGAAGUGGAUGGUGAAAACUUCUUAAUCAAUUUAUUGAAGCAGUCCUUGAACUGUGAUUUUUAAGUGACACAAGUAUAUGUGUAAUUAGGGUGGUACCGCGGAAGUUAGCUUUCGUCCCUUGC
rnacentral:ncRNA from 1 species